rnacentral:rRNA from 1 species
GACGAACGCUGGCGGCGUGCUUAACACAUGCAAGUCGAACGGAGUGGCGAACGGGUGAGUAACACGUGGGUGACCCGCCCUGCACUUCGGGAUAAGCCUGGGAAACUGGGUCUAAUACCGGAUAGUGUGGGAUGGGCCCGCGGCCUAACAGCUUGUUGGUGGGGUAAUGGCCUACCAAGGCGGCGACGGGUAGCCGGCCUGAGAGGGUGGACGGCCACAUUGGGACUGAGACACAGCCCAGACUCCUACGGGAGGCAGAAGUGGGGAAUAUUGCGCAAUAGGCGGAAGCCUGAUGCAGGGACGCAGCGUGGGGGAUGAAGGCCUUCGGGUUGUAAACUCCAUUCACCAUCGACGCAGUGGAUGGAGAAGAAGCACCGACUGACUACGUGCCAGCAGCCGGGGUAAUAC